rnacentral:misc_RNA from 1 species
AAAUGAUUUUCACUAAGCUUUUGAACUCUUUCGGGAGAUCGAGCCUAGUGUCUUUACACCCUGUGAACUUUAUCGUUUUUCGAGUGUGCAGUAAUGCAUGCUCGGCCGUAACAAACCCCUUUUAAACUAGUCUGAAUUUUUUAUUAUAUAAAAGAUAAACAACUUUUGACAACGGAUCUCUUGGCUCU